rnacentral:rRNA from 1 species
AUUGAACGCUGGCGGCAGGCCUAACACAUGCAAGUCGAACGAGUGGCGGACGGGUGAGUAAUGUCUGGGAAACUGCCUGAUGGAGGGGGAUAACUACUGGACACGGUAGCUAAUACCGCAUACCAUCAGAUGUGCCCAGAUGGGAGUUGGUUUUUGGUGGGGUAACGGCUCACCAAGGCGACGAUCCCUAGCUGGUCUGAGAGGAUGACCAGCCACACUGGAACUGAGACACGGUCCAGACGCCUACGGGAGGCAGCAGUGGGGAAUAUGGCACAAUGGGCGCAAGCCUGAUGCAGCCAUGCGGCGUGUAUGAAGAAGGCCUUCGGGUUGUAAAGUACUUUCAGCGGGGAGGCGUUACCCGCAGAAGAAGCACCGGCUAACGCCGUGCCAGCAGCCGCGGUAAUUC